CCUGAGUUCACUGAAAAUAAAGGCUGUUUAAUAUUUGUUUUUGUAUUCUCAGGACCAAGCAUAGGGCACAGUAGAUGCUUUGUAAAUCUUAGUUGGUUGAGUGGUUUGAUCUUUGUCUCAACGAGUUGAUGACCUAACCAUGCUCAGACAGCUGAUAUAAAACAAGUCAUCUUCUACCUCUUCAAAUACAAUCAAUUUCAUUUUUGGCAAUGUUACAUUAUGUUUACCAUGUUCUGUACCUUCUGAUUCUACUGAAGACCUAUUGAGCAAGAAGAACAAAGCCUUUAUGGAGUGGCAAAAUAACCCAAACUCUGCUCCUAAAAAGGACAGAUUCAAGUCUCUCCAAGCCAUGGCACAGCGUGAGAUCAGGAAGAUGCAAGACCGAUGGUGGGGAAAAAAGGCAGAAGAAAUCCAGCGGUUUGCUGAUAUGAAAAACUACAAACAAUUUUUCAGUGCUCUCAAGACUGUCUAUGGGCCAUUAAAACCCACCACCACUCCCUUGCUAUCCUCUGAUGGUGACACUCUCAUAAAAGAUAAAAAAGCCUUCAGCAACAGGUGGAAAGAACAUUUCAGUCAGCUUCUCAACCGACCCUCUUCAGUUGACCAAAGUGCCAUUGACCAGAUCCCCCAAAACAGCUCCAUUGAACAACUUGAUGUCCCUCCUUCAAUAGAGGAAGUCCAAAAAGCCAUUAAACAAAUGAGUGCAGGCAAAGCACCCGGUAAAGACGGGAUCCCAACCAAGGUGUACAAGGCCUUAAAUGGAAAGGCGCUCCAGGCAUUCCACAUAGUGCUGACCAGCAUAUGGGAAGAGGAAGACAUGCCCCCAGAACUCAGAGAUGCCUCCAUCGUAGCCCUAUACAAGAACAAAGGCUCACGAGCAGCCUGUGAUAACUACAGAGGCAUCUCACUACUCUCCACUGCUGGAAAGAUCCUCUUCCGUGUUAUACUCAACAGACUCCUGUCAUCUGUUUCAGAGCAGAACAUGCCUGAAUCACAAUGUGGCUUCCGACCAGAUCGCAGCACCAUUGACAUGGUCUUCACGGUGAGGCAAAUGCAG
rnacentral:lncRNA from 1 species